rnacentral:rRNA from 1 species
CAGCAGCCGCGGUAAUACGUAGGUGGCAAGCGUUGUCCGGAAUUAUUGGGCGUAAAGGGCUCGCAGGCGGUUUCUUAAGUCUGAUGUGAAAGCCCCCGGCUCAACCGGGGAGGGUCAUUGGAAACUGGGAAACUUGAGUGCAGAAGAGGAGAGUGGAAUUCCACGUGUAGCGGAGAAAUGCGUAGAGAUGUGGAGGAACACCGGUGGCGAAGGCGACUCUCUGGUCUGUAACUGACGCUGAGGGGCGAAAGCGUGGGGAGCGAACAGGAUUAGAUACCCGCGUAGUCCCUGUCUCUUAUAC